rnacentral:rRNA from 1 species
GACGAACCGUGCGAACGUUGUUCGGAAUCACUGGGCUUAAAGGGCGCGUAGGCGGAUUGCCAAGUCAGGGGUGAAAUCUCUCAGCUCAACUGGGAAAUUGCUUUUGAUACUGGCAGUCUCGAGUGAGGUAGGGGCAUGUGGAACUCUCGGUGGAGCGGUGAAAUGUGUUGAUAUCGGGAGGAACUCCGGUGGCGAAAGCGACGUGCUGGACCUCAACUGACGCUGAGGCGCGAAAGCUAGGGGAGCAAACGGG